CCGGUCUUGAAAACCGGUAUAGUUCUAGGAACUAUCGAGGGUUCGAAUCCCUCUCUCUCCU
rfam:Oryza glaberrima chromosome 8 Oglab08_unplaced092_3, whole genome shotgun sequence.